GUGGCAUGAAAAAUACCAAGCUAUCUAUCUAUCAAGCUGCAAUAUCUCGGAGAUUAAAUUAUAUUCUUUCAAAUUUUCAAACUUUUGGAAACUUUCAAAGUGAACAUGUUGCGAGGAGAGCAAUAAAGUUUUAAAAUAGUAGCAAACUAAAUCAGACUUUAGAUUCAAUUGACUGUACGGAUUUGUAAAAUACUGCCAUGUAUGUGAAUUUUAGUUUAAAUUAUUUUAUCUUGAAAAAAAUGUUAAUAUCCUAUUCAGAUCAUGAGUAUAAGUUAACGUUUGUAUAAGCUUGUGAGAUGCGUCUACGUACGUCAAAACCAGAAUUAUAAAAAAAAUGAAUAAAAGACAGACGAAUGUCAAAAAUGUAUCAUAAUAAAUAUUCAUAAAAAGAAAAUGCCACAAUAAAAUGGAAAACAAAUCAGUGACUAAUAACAAGAGGAAAAGGUUCAGUGGUGAUAUAUUAUAAGAAAUACUUGGAAUGAAAGUACUUUAUAAUUGCAAUAAGUUACGUCAACCCGUGAUAGGUAGAAACCGACAAAAGAUAAUAAACAUCUUAUCGCAAUAUUCAAAGUUACAACAGAUUCAAACUACUUUAAAACAGAAAGGAAUUAAUACAUACCAGAAUAUUGUAAUUACAUUGAAGACACCAUAAAAUGUAAUAUUUCAAAUUCAACAUGUGACCGAUUUUAUAAAGAACAAAAUCACAGACUUAAAACGAAAACACCCCUUUUUGAAAUUAAUACUUUUGUUAUAUGAAAAGGAGAUGGAAUACAGUGUUUGAUUCUGCGAUAUAAAAUAAUAUCGAAAGAUUAUCAGUGAUUAUAUCAAAGCAAAGAUUGCUGUUAUCGUUUGCAUAAUGAACAUUACGACAACAGCUGUUCCGAGCGUACAGUCUGGAUUCAUGAGUUUUAUGUAUGGCUUCUACACUGUGAUAACACCGGUUAUUUUUGUCAUUGUUAUUAUCAUCCUGUUGGUGUAUGUGGUUGUUUGCGUUACAUAGCAGUAUAUUAUUUGGAAGAUGGAGAAGGAACUUCUUUGUUAGUUAAAACCGGAGCAUUUAAAAUACAUGUGAUAAAAGCAAAGGGAGACUACUAGAAUGACAAAACACUAUUUGCAUUUCGGAUCUUUGAGCAAUAUGUUGCAUGUAACACACAUUUGAGUAGAGGUAUAUAGUUAUUUCAUUCGUAUUUUACAUAUUUGUGCAACGACAAAGUAGCGACAUGCUGAUGGGGAUACAAUCUGUAACAGUUUGAAGUAUUCAAAACUUUAUCAAACAAUGUAUUUUUAUAACAGUACAUGUAUGCAGUUGAUUUGUCACAUCAAAACCUAUUGUUGACAUAAAUUUUUAAAUUAUAAAAAAACAUUAAAAGUACUUAAAGGUGAACUGUUGAUAUACAUAAUUUAAAUGAAAUACGCACAUCUUGAUUUUAUAUUUUGUAAGCACGAUGUGUAAACUUUCAGAUCUAUCUAAUCUAUGUCAAGUCUCCUUGCCAACCAAACUGUCAUACUACAGAAAAUGUGAAAUCACAUAUUUUAAUUGGGUUAUUGUUGGAAGAUUUUGUUUUUCUAAAAUACAUGCAUAUUGAAAGAAAUUAGAAAAUGUCCAAUAAAAUGAUUACCUAUCUAAGCUUAUAUUAAGUAUAUUGUCAAUGUCAUGUACAACAUAUUAGUAAUACAAAUUAAUAUGUACCAAACGAAGCAAACUGAAAAUUGAUUUUUGCAUUAGAUUAUAUCACCCAGUAUAUGAUAACAAAGUUAGUUCAUUGUUCAUUUUAACUGGUGUCAUGCAGCCUCAUAGAAGACAUGCUUAUCAUUAAAGUGAUUAAUACUUUAUAUACAUUUUUUAUGUUUGUGAUGUCCGAAAAUGACGUACCAUUUUCGAAACGCUUUUCUUAUUUUUUACUUGUAACAAGAGCGUAUCAACAUGUUAUAUAAUGUUUCAAUAAAUAAAUCUAACUUUAUGUUGAUGAAAAGAAGUACAUGUACAUGUUCAAACAUAUUUAUUAUAGUAGGAACAACAAAUGACAUUGAAAUAUUGAAACGAUGUGGAUUAGUUUAAUUGUACACAUUAUUCUAACACGAUCCGAUUCAUGUUCCUAUUAACAAAGAAGGCUGAAAACAGUGAAUUAUUGUACAACAAAUCGCUGUUCUGACGUCACAAUUAUUACGUCAUAGCGUCAAACGACAUAGAGGCGCGCUGGAAAAGAAACCGAUAGAAAACGGGCAAAUAUUUAAUGAAUACCGUCAAGGAUAUACUUUAAAGUCCUUGGUAACGUGUUAGAAUCGAAAUAAUAUAUCUCAUUUAGUGAUUUGCUCUUGGAUAAAAUCAGUGUUUGUCGUUCAGAUGCGUAUUAAUUAUAUCACUCGGGCUGCGCCCUCGUGAUAUCUGAACUCCAAACAAUGACUUAUUCAGCGCCAAAUCACUUAAUGAGAUAUAUUAUUUCUUAAAUUUAAUACCAAAUAAAAAUGACAUUGACACUAAACUAUUGCAUGUCCCAAUAUCACAAUAACAUAUGUUAAAGAUAUUCAACGCGUAUCUCUCAAAAAACAGUUUAUUCUUCGGUACCAGCUUAAAUUGUUAAAAAUACUCAACAGAUUGCGUAACGUGUUUAUAUAUAUUAUCAUGCAAUAACUAUGCAAAGUGCCUGAUCUCACUUGCCUGAUAUUUUAUUUUGUUAUCAGGUCAUUGACCUGAUAUCAAAAUUAAGCCCCUCCCAUAUUGACGGACUAGUUUUUACAUCAUUCCAGAUUGAAUUUUAUUACAGAGUCCAGUCUCGAUGUUGCACAACAUUUUUUUCUAAAUAGAUUCUGUAAUCUCAACAAAUUUCCUGGAAUAUGGUUGUCUCUAAUUUUAUCACACAGACAAUAGCACUGAAUGACGUCAUUGUGAACCGUUCAUCAUGACAUCACAAUGUUUACAUGGAUCGAUUCUUGGAAAGGUUUACAAUGCACUUGACAAUGUAAGAUAUACUGGUACUGAUGAUAAACCCGAACAGAAAAUGAGGUUUUUUACCUGUAACUUUUUUAUUUCUGCAAACUGAAAUCAAUGGUCGGUAUCAAAAUAAAGCUUAACCUUUGCUGAAAACUUUACAUAAUUCAAAUUUAUAUUUAGUAAGCAAACUCACACGAAGUGAGGGCCUGAAAGGGGUAUGUAAAAAGGGGACUUUAUGAAUGCUGACUGAUGAUAAUUUCGAACCCUUUGUCAGUUACAAAAUUUUCUUGGUAUUAUUAUAUUGAAAUUUCCCCAAAAAGCUACAACAGUCAUUCCUGAUCAAGUAAUGAAAAGUUAACAAAUGUCAGGUCUUCAUGUUUUGACAGUGAGCAUGCGCAAGAAAACACCCUCUUCCCCAGUAAUUUUGGAUAAAUAUUUUUUAUACAAAUUUAUGUAAGUCAUUUAUUUAUACAGAAUAUUUAUCAAUUUUGUUUUUGUUUACACCAGUUGGUGUUGUAAGUGGAAACUAUUAGAUGGUGUGUUCAAUUUUAUAAAUAACCGAUUGCAAUCGAAUAUUUCCAAGGUGUUCGACUUUAUCAUCUGUCCGGGUUUAUCAUCAGUACCAGUACUUAUUCUCGGUUUAUGCCUAAUUUAAGGCAUGCACAUUUUAUUAAGUAUUAGCAAAACUAUUUGUGUUAAUUAUUAUUCUUGAAUCGGUGUAAAUUUUGUGAUUUUAAAAACUUUAAAGUAUCUCAGAGACUCUGAUGUGAGUCUGGAACUGGAAGUGAAAUUUUCAGCGCUUUGGUUUGGACAUGUAGUUGUCUGUGUCAAAUGUUUCAUAAUGGAAAUAAAGCAUGUUCUGGUUUAUUCAAGAGGAUGAUUUUUGAUUUUUUAUGCAGGUAAGAGUGUAUUUCAUUGUUACUUUUUUACAAGAAUAUCAGAGAGUUAAAAAAAAAUUGUCGGAAAUGAAUUCGAUAUGGCUGUCGUAUUGUUUCGUUCAGAUGUUUCAGGGGCGGAUGAAUUUUCAAAUCCAUAAAAUAUAAAUUUAAUUUUUUGCUUCAGUAGACAUCUUUUACUAAAUAAGAGAUGAAAACAUAUGUUGUUCUAAGCAGUUUGUGUGGGUUUCAUGAUAAAUAGAAUAACAGGCUACUGUCUUUUGAUAUCAAUGCUAUCAGGUCUCGGCUGAUAUGGGCGGAAGGGAUUCGGUUCCCUCACCCCUUCCAGCCCAUAUCAACCUCGACCUGAUAACAUUGAUAUCAAAAGACAGUAGCCUGUUAUUCUCUAUGAAACAGGCUGUAGUUGUAGAGCAAAACUAAAAAAAAAACCCAAAAAACCAAGCUAUGUACGAAAUUCCUUUGUUACCGGAAAUACCAUGGUUAGCUAUUAUACAUGUAUAAGAUGCGUAUCAUUUCAAACUUUGCACACAGCUCCGUUUUCACAUAUAUAUUUAGUAAUAUAUAUAUGAACGAGGUGUUAUAUACCUAUAAAAAUGCGGCAUAAACAUUGAGAUAGCUGUUAUUUAAUUGAAAAGGAAGCCAGUAUAAUGUUUUUGUUCUGGGCAAAACGGACUGUUUCAGACAAUGUAAAAGCUCUAAAUGCCAGCAUUGUCUCUUUAAAUAAGUAAGAUAACAUCGUAUGUAAGUGUAAAUUACCACAUACGCUUUGUAAGAUAACUUACUUAAGGAUACUCAAACAUUCGUGUACCUAAAAAUGAAUAUCUUAGCAAAACAAGCAAUGGUUAGGUGCCUCCUUGCUUUUAUAUGAUUUGUCUCCACAUUUCCAAAUAACAACUUGCCAAGGAGCAUUCCAAAAUGAAGGAGAAAGACUAAGCCAUACAUGGUACUAUGUAAAUAAGAUGUUCUACAUCAGAAUUCUGUUAAGGUAAUUAUAAAAUAUGUAAAACUCUUUUGUUAUCCUUAAACAGAUGCAACUAUCUCAUCAAAAGCAGUUACGCACAAAUAAAUGAAUUUAGGUAUCAAUUUCCACCACAACUGAAUUACAAGUGCUAUAAUCCAAGAGUGGUUUAGUUUAAUCAAGUUUUGCUGUAUGCUUCGUCGAAUGGUUAUUAACACGAGUUCAUAUACUAUGUAUUCAUAUUCCGUUCACAGUUACCGAUAUAUUUAAAAUUUCGCUAUACUUACGCAUCUACAUUCUGAUAUUUUCGAAACAGAAACAUUUUAACUAUAGGUCAGUAUUAAUACUUACUUAUAAUUGAUAAAAACAACUGACAAAUGUAUGAUUUUAAAUGGAUUAAUUAUCUGAAUAAGACAUUACGCAGCAGCAGUAUUGUAAUAAAGGUAAUGGCAAAUAUAAACAGAAAAUACAUACUAGUACCCGUAUAUGACUGCAAAUUAUUUUAAAUGUACACAUUUAUAACAUAUUUCAAAACAAGAUCUGCAAUACUAUCGGGGUUAAACAGAAUUCAUUAGCCAUAUAGUCAGGGACUUUAGUUUUUUUUUUCUGCACGUACUCCUAAAUUUAUUUCCGCUGUAAUAAAAUCUGUGUUUGAUUUUGUACUGAUGUUGACUCCUUCAAGAUCUGAAAAUGACUAAGCAUGAAUCGAUUUUCGCUGCUAAAGAAGAGGAUAAGUUUGAAAAUAACAUUUAUUCUGUAACUUACUAGCGAGAAACAGUACAAAAGUGCAGACGCAUACAGUUAUAUCUCCGAUUAUCCGAAGUUAUAUCGGCCAUGCAAUAUAGCAAUCUCUAUGUGUGAUUGACAACUCGGCGAACAAACUGUUAGGGAUUAUCAGUAUUUGUUGCGCAGAAAACUAAAUAAGUAAAAAAGCACAUAGUAUAAAGUAUAAUGAUACCUCUCUGUGAGGAGUACUAAUUGAUUUAACUGACAUUCUUGACACUAUGACAUUACCACGAGAUAUUAUCAUGUGACCAUGAAUUAACAGUCUUGUAAACGCAGUGUUAUCUCGUUGCCACGAGUUAAUCAACUAAUACAAUGUACCUCUACGGAAGGAGUUAUUGAAUCGUAACAACGACUUUACUCUCUUAUUUGUAACGGUAUCUCGUGGAAAAGACACAGUAUUUCGUGGCCAAGAGAUAGAUAAAAGCGCAAAUAGGAAACUGGGUUUCCAUGUGCACCGCCAUAUUAACACAUCUGCGAGUAUCUUUAAGUUAUAUUUUGGUACUGAUAACAUUUGUAAAUGUUGAGUUCUGCUCAAACUGGGACUUAAAGACAUGGGCAGUAGCUUGCUUUUCCACUACCGUCCAUGAACAGGCUCAAUCUCUAAUUUUUCAGUUCUUAGAUCUUUGUUGUAGAACAGUUGUAAACUGCAAAGUUAACGUACAUUUAAGACUAUUCUCGUGCAGUGUAAAUAGCAUGUAGAUGAGUUUCGUUAACAUUGUUCGACGCAUUGCCAACUCCGAAUACAAAUGUCCGGCUCCAUUCAUCCCCUCUUCAUACUGUCAGUGUUAAUAGAAUACUUUUAACUGUCAAAUCACAUGCACCUAUCAUUAAAAUCAUAUAUUAUUAACAACAUUGCAGUACCGUUCGUAAAUUUAAUUGUUUUCUAACUAUCAAUACUGAAAGGAGUACAGUGACACAGUAACUACAAAAUUUAAAUGUACAUGAUAUUACAAGUUUUUUUCAUUCUCUGGGUCUUAAACUGCGCAGUAGUUAUUCACACAUUUGAAAACUUGAAACUUUAAUCUAGAUCUUGUAUAAAAGAGAUUGCAUGAUAGGAUCAAGUGGCAUACUUACUAAACCCUAGGCUGUGUUUCUACAACGUAUCCUAAACAUCGAUGAAACCUUAUGAAACACGGAAGUUAUACCAAACUCCGCAAACAUUCGGUAAAACACAAUAAAUUAGACAAUGAAUGUCAGAAAAACUUUCAUAAGAAACAGAGUAUUUUAUGUAUGUGUUUUUCGGACACAUACUUGUCGUGUUAUGAAGGACUGAGCAGAGCUGAAUAACAUUUAUAAUCUUUGAUGAAACAAACCUAUUUUGAUAUCAGGUGGAUACCUAUGAAAUGGAGUACUCAUAUAUUCAUAGUCUAUCUAUAAAUUGAAAUUUCACUGAUUGCAACAUUUAUCAAAAGAUGCCAUAGGUAAUUACAUUACUGUAAAUAUAAACGCAACGGCAACAAUUUGAAAAAAUCUACAUACAAAUUCAUAUUAAAUUUGUCUUUUCGUAAACGCAAGUUGUGAAAGAAAAGUAUAUAUGAUGUUACCGAAAACAUGCAAAAAAUUAUUAAAUAUCUAAACUGUAUCUUAAGAUAUUUAGUAUCUACAAUUUUGAAGACACCCGACUUGAAAACUAAUUUAAAAGUAAAGAAUCGGAAAAUAGUAUGCAUGGUACAGAAAGAACACUCAGAAUUAUUGUCACAAUGCCAGAUUUGUAGUGGAUGUCUGAAAUUCAGUGGAAUAAAAAUAUCGUUCUAUCUUCCGCCGCGAUAUACCACAGAGAUGAAAGCAUAUACUCUACAAAAUUCAGAACUUUGGGAUAUUUCAAAGUGGAUAAUGGCAUUUAAGUUUCAAAUAAUAUGUAAACGUGAAGAGUUGAGUUUAAUAGAUAAAUAAACCCUAGAUAAGCGGAUGCAAUAAAUGUGUUGUGACUAUCAUCAUGAUAAUGGAUACGUGUUUAAUCACUUUGAAGUUAAACAUUUGUUAAAUGUAACUACGCAUAAUAAAUAGGAAUAAUGAACGUAUAUUGAACGAAAACUUAGCAUGAAAAAUGUUUGUUACAUUCAAAAUAUCAUAAAAGAACAUGACGAAAACAACACGUGUUGUUGCGAUGAUGAUAUUUUGCAAACUAUAAUUCGACGGAAUGCCUAAAAUAUUCGGCAUUAAUGAUAUGAAUAUUUGACGGACUCAAAAAUAAAAUGCGAAAUGAUAAUUCAAGUGCAAUGUGUGAUCAACGUUACAACAAAUUCGCAUUUCGAUAACAAGGGAAAAAAAGAGUACAAUAUACAUAUCAAGCAUAAUAUAGUUAACACUGUGGGCACAGAAAACAAUAAGGUAUUCAGAUAAAAUGUGAUAUGCGGCCGAUUUAUAACGGGCGGAUGCGAAAACAGUCCAUUUUAAAAUGUAUACAGUUUGAACACUGCAUAAGAUGGAAUUUGGAAUUUGGUUCGUUCAUGUGUUCUUAAGAAACGUUACAAUAAAAAUAUAACGAACAUUACGACAACAGCUGUCUCGAGCAUUAUGUACGGCAUUUACACUGCGAUAACACCGCUCAUUUUUAUCAUUGUUAUUCUAAUAUUAUUGUUAUAUGUGGUUGUGUAUACAAUACAUUAAUGUAACAUUUUAAUAUUUUAUGUUAACAAAGAAGAAGAUAUGUUGCCGAAACGUUAGAAUAUAUGUAAUUUGUA